UAGGGAAUCUUCCACAAUGGGCGAAAGCCUGAUGGAGCAACGCCGCGUGUGUGAUGAAGGGUUUCGGCUCGUAAAACACUGUUGUAAGAGAAGAAUGACAUUGAGAGUAACUGUUCAAUGUGUGACGGUAUCUUACCAGAAAGGAACGGCUAAAUACGUGCCAGCAGCCGCGGUAAUACGUAUGUUCCAAGCGUUAUCCGGAUUUAUUGGGCGUAAAGCGAGCGCAGACGGUUAUUUAAGUCUGAAGUGAAAGCCCUCAGCUCAACUGAGGAAUUGCUUUGGAAACUGGAUGACUUGAGUGCAGUAGAGGAAAGUGGAACUCCAUGUGUAGCGGUGAAAUGCGUAGAUAUAUGGAAGAACACCAGUGGCGAAGGCGGCUUUCUGGACUGUAACUGACGUU
rnacentral:rRNA from 1 species